rnacentral:misc_RNA from 1 species
GAUGAAGAACGUAGCGAAAUGCGAUAAGUAAUGUGAAUUGCAGAAUUCAGUGAAUCAUCGAAUCUUUGAACGCAUCUUGCGCUCCUUGGUAUUCCGAGGAGCAUGCCUGUUUGAGUGUCAUUUUACAAUUAUCAAACCACUUGACGGUGGCUUUGGAUGUGGGGGGCUAUUUUUUUGCAGGCUUUUAUCCUCAAGUCUGCUCCCCUGAAAUAAAUUAGUGGUGUCUGGAGUGGAAACCGCCAGGUGUGAUAAUCUAUCGUCUACACCUUUGGGUAUGCCACGUGAAAAACAGAUUGUGCUGCUUCCAACGCAACCUGACCCUUUAUGACAAACUUGACCUCAAAUCAGGUAGGACUACCCGCUGAACUUAAGCAUAUCAAUAAGCGGAGGA